CAUGCAACUCUCUGUUUCUUUCCAGUUAUUAUACUGGAGUGUAUAACGAUGAUUAACAUUCACCCCAUUUACAAUGUCCCCCCUCCCCCCCCAAAGAAAAAAAAAAAGAACUAUCAAUUUUUUUCUAUUGACACCCCAAUUUGAAGGAAUUGUUUCAAUGUGCCACCUUCUUGAAAAUAUUUAGGUCUUGACUUUCAUGAACCUGAACAUGCAUUUUAGGUUUUCUUAAGUGACAAUUACUAUCUAUGCUUCUUGAACAUGUUAUUUUUAUUAC